GAUGAACGCUGGCGGCGUGCUUAACACAUGCAAGUCGAGCGAGUGAGUUCUUCGGAACGAUCUAGCGGCGGACGGGUGAGUAACACGUGGGCAACCUGCCUCAUAGAGGGGAAUAGCCUCCCGAAAGGGAGAUUAAUACCGCAUAAAAUUAUCGAGUGGCAUCACACGAUAAUCAAAGGAGUAAUCCGCUAUGAGAUGGGCCCGCGGCGCAGUAGCUAGUUGGUGAGGUAACGGCUCACCAAGGCGACGAUGCGUAGCCGACCUGAGAGGGUGAUCGGCCAAAUUGGGUCUGAGACACGGUCCAGACUCCGACGGGAGGCAGCAGUGGGGAAUAUUGCACAAUGGGGGAAACCCGGAUGCAGCGACGCCGCGUGAGUGAUGAAGGUCUUCGGAUUGUAAAGCUCUGUCUUUGGGGACGAUAAUGACGGUACCCAAGGAGGAAGCCACGGCUAACUACGUGCCAGCCGCCGCGGUAA
rnacentral:rRNA from 1 species